rnacentral:miRNA from 1 species
AAUGCGAAACGGAUUAUUAAG